UCCUGCUCUCAGUGCAAGCACCUGUGUGAAGGAAAGCUGGUUACUCCUUUGUGUCCUGUAACCUGAUUGGCAGGGCACAGAUGUCACCACUCCUUGGUCAUCAGUACAGCUGCAAGCUGCUGGGGGAGAUUCCCUCCUGCAUUACCCCAGCUCUCCACACAGUCUGUCAAUAGAUCUGCAACAUGUAUCAAGGCUGGAGUGUAUUUUUGAUGAGGUUUAUGAAUUAGAAGCAGAUUUAUGGUUGCACCUGUGGCCCACCGGGGCCUGGCCUGGCAGUGACAUUUUCCAGCACUGGAGGGAUUGAGAACAGCCUGAGCUGAGCUACUGCGCACAGGAGAGAGACUUUCUGAAUUUGUCCUCUCCUCAGAGCAGCAGGAGGUUUAGUUGUUCGGUAUUGGGGGUUUUUUUUGUGCUGAGCAGUGCUUUGCCUGUUGAAUAAACAGGUUUUUUCCACUUCUCUCAGAGAUUUCUUCCCGAACCGGCUGGGGGAGGGGCCGCUUGGGUUUGCUUCCUCGGGGGGGAACCCUUUGGAAGUUUUCUCCCAAAUUUCCCCUAAACCAGGACACCAUGCUAUAACAUAUGUUUCUAGUAUUAUUAUUCAGAAGAAAUUUGUAUUUCCUGACAUACUCAAAUAUCAAAAUAAUCUCUAAAAAUUUCCAAUCAAUAGCAAUAAUUGCUCUGGUUUUGCUGUGACAUUGUUGUCUUUUGAAUUCCAGCUAAUGGUUCAGCUGAUCAAUAUUUUAUAGCGAGUGCUGCUUACCAUGCAGCUCUUACAUAAACACUGUUGGGAAGAGAGAAACCCCUGAGCUGACAGAGCAGAAAGGCAGGAUGGUCUCCUGGGCUUGGCUAUUAAUUGAUAAAUUUACUAAAACUUCAUUCCAACGUUUUUAUUGAUUCAUCUAAAUAUACUUUAAGUUACAUUUUUACUUUGUACAGGAUGAUUAAUUUAUUUAAUCUGCAGGAUUAAAGAAGUGCAACAGCUUCCAAGGAUUCAAAGGCACGAUGGGAAAAGGAAGAAAGUUUUUUACCUCAUUGGCAGAGAAUUUAGGGUAAAAUUACCUGUGUUUUUAAUUUUUUUAUGCAGACCUGUUAGAUUUAUGUUGGGUGAUUUGAAUUUAGAGAUUUAAGGGGUAGUGGAAUUCCAGCAUAGAUUUUUUUGUCUUGUUCCCCUGCACUCUAUAAAGUGGGACUUUGUUCUUAGAAUAAACAGAAUCACAUCAAAGAUACUGGCUGCAUCACAAGUUUUCACUGAGUGACCCACAUGAUACUGAAUUUUGUCUGGCUACUGGGCAGAGACAGCUUUUGAUCUCCUCUAAUAAAAUAGUUCCUCUUUCCCAGCUUUUGUUUACAAGCUCAAAGGAGGGAGAUGGGAUGGAAGGAGACAUCUGACUUGUCAGACCCUCCUUUGGUAAGCUUCACAUGGGGAUUUCAAGGGUGUGCAGAAUCCCUGCUCCCCCAGUGAGCUCUCAUUAGACUUUUAACCUGUAGAUUCCCAUCCUGCUCCUCCACUUGAUCUUUGGGUGGAACACUCACUGGCCUGGCCAUUCCGCACCUUCCCCUGUAGUUAUCAAAUUCCAUGGAAACACCCUGCAUGUGCAGUCAGGGAACAGUUCACUUUCAUUAGCUCUGUUCUGGCUGGGACAGACCUGGUGCUGUCUCCUGAAACACUGAAUUUUUAAUUUCACUCUGCUUUUAUUGUGCAAAUUUUUCUCUGUUGAAUUCAAAUAGCGGAUUAAGUACAUGAAGCAGAAAACCACAAACGCCAGUGAUGCUUGGAUUCAUUUUAAGUGUGACUGAAAUUAGUUUUAGAGAGCAAGAAGUGGUUUGAGGUUGUAUUUGUUAUUUCCUCACCACCACCACCACCAUCUUUACCCAGGAUGGGUGUAACAGGCAGUGUGUCCCUCUGUGAGGGACAUGAGUGGUCAUGCCUGUGACAUCCUUUAAGGAAGAUGCUUCCUCUGGAUGACUUCCUUAGUGACCACAAUGAGCUAUCCUAGUAGAGCUAGGAGCCUCUAUGCAGUCUGGAUCUUGAGUCUUGGGUUCAUUCUGGACUUGGUUGUGCUGGUUCCUUGUGGAAAACUCUGACCACCCUUCCUGAAUACUCUGUGACUUAUUCCCUCCCUGAAUUAGAGGAAAUAUUUCACAGAGCAAUAGCUGGGCAAAUGCAAAUCCUCCUUGCAGAGUUCUUGGAACUUCAAGCCACUAAAUAUACACAUUUAGUCUAUGGAACUGAAUUUACUUCCCCUCUCAGAGGAACAAGCUUUGUCAGCUGUAAUGAUGAGCUGUUGUUUGACAUUCAUAAUAUUGUACUUCACUGCUUAUCUGAUGGAGCCACGCAAAGCUAUUUAGGGGUUUCUGAAAUGUGACAGCCCACAUGAUGCUUUUUUAGACUUCACAGACCGCCCUCAUGAGGCAGGAGAAUCUGACAUGGGAACGUCUGGCUGGAACAGCAGCAUGCCUUAAUGCCAGCGGGGUUGCUGUGGCUGGGAGGAGGAAUGCCCUUUGGAAGUCUGUGUGCUGUCAGAGGAAGAACUCCCAGACUGAAAGAACAGGCAUCAUGGAUGCCAUGGGUGGGGACUGUGGGGAUUAUUAUUGGUGCUGUCUGGAAACAGCAUCAAGAUGGAAGCAAAUAUGUCAAAACCUGUUUGGGCCAUCCACAGACAGAAGGGGCUCAAGGGAGACAGCUCAGAUGCCCUUUUUCAUGUUAUCUUGCCUUAAUAAACAGCCAGAUCUCACUUUCUAACAACUUCUGUAUCUUCACACUUGCUGACAUAUGGAGCAUUCAUUGUAAACUUUGUUUUGAAUCCUGGAAGCCUCCAGGUGAAAGAACUCAUUCAGGAAAACUAAAACUCAACAAAUCCUCUGGCAUCUGUUCACAGACUAACAGCAGAAGAGCAAGAGUUACCUUUGACAUCUGUUCCACAUGAACCUACAGAAGCUGAGUAAAUGGGUGGUGAGUUCUCACUUCCUUACAGUGGCCAGGUUGGUUUUGUGUUCUGUAUUUUCAUCCUUCUGAAAUUGCUAUUCAAUUUAUUCAUCACUGAGAGGAUUUCAUAUCCCAGAUGAGAUACACUGAUUAAAUAAGCAAGUAAGCAGUAGAAGAUCUUUUUAUGUGACUCAAGAGGGAGGAUAAGUCCCAGUCUGGAUGAGUGGCAAUCUCUGACUCUCCUGGGACCAGAUUUUACUUGCAGGCUUUAUGGUUGUCUCAUUGUAGUGGCCUUUUCCCAAAAGCAAUGCAGUGUAUUCCACUUAUCUUACAAAAUGUCUGCCACCAGGAGGUGGCUUCACUCAAAUAUACAUUUCUUUAAGAUGAAGACAAAUUUAUUGCUCAUUCCAUUCAUAACCAGGAAUUCUCCUGGCUUGCUGAACUGCUGAAUCAGCAUGGGUACCUCACCCUUGAGUCAGCACAGCCCAAAAUAGAAACUUGCUCCAUUUCCAAAGAGAGGAAGUACCACUGUUGUCUGCAAAUACAGCCACGUCUGACUUGCUUUUAACACUGCAAACACUCAGUGCAGGGUCCUGCAUGCCACUCUGCUGCUUAAAACAAAACAAAACAAAAAGUAAAAAGGCACUGUCUUAUUCAAAAUAGGAAUGCUAAGUAUGGAUGGGACUGUGUGGAUGUGGAUGUCCCAGGGAGUAAGAGAAGGACUUUCCAAGUGGCAGUCAUUGAUGUCACCUGGCCUAGCCCAGCAUCAAGCUCCCACUCCACCUGCUUGCAGUUUCUCAGGAAAUACAAAUUAGGGAGACAAGGGAUGGGCUAUAACCAAACUGAAGCAAAGUCAUAAUCCAUUAGGAAAUAAUGGCAAGAAAACAUAGUAGAAGCUCUAAAACAUUGACUGGAGUUCAGCUACCAGCAUUCCCAAGGUACAGCUGAGUCAGUCCUGCUGCUAUGAGGUAAUUCUGCUUUGUAGCACAGCAUAAAACAGCAAAAACCUGGGGAAAUGACCAAGACCUGCAGUCAGAUAGUGGGAAGUGACACUAAAGUCAUCAGCAGGACUUCAUGAGUAGGUGGAAGGCAGUGAAAAGGCACAUAAAAAUAGUCCAAUGUGUUACAAAUGAGGGAGGAUUUUCUGUGGCUCCAGGUCAGGACAAGAAAUAGAAGAAUGAGGAUAAUGUGACUUCACUCCAUCUGCCCUUCUCAAGCUCUGCAGUUUUUUCUCUUGCAAAUGAGCGUCUGUGGUUUUUGGCAUCCUACAAAAGGACCCCUAUUGUCAAGCAGCACUGGGGUGCCCCCUUCCCAUGGGUGCUCCUGGUUUUCCUUUCCUGCAUGCUGCAGGAUGGUGUCAUGUUCUUCCUGGUCCAAGCAAACUACUGUUUCUGGUGCUUCUGUUAAACAUGUCUGAACUGGCUCUAUUUUCCACAAGGAAAGGCCAUUCCAACAGGCAUGCAAAAAUCAGUAACUCCUUUUAAACCAUGGGCAGAAGAGAUGUGAUCCUUGGCACAGAAUUUUCCUGCAGUACUCUGGAGGAAACUGUAGAUAUUUGAAAAAUUUGUCAUUUCUGCAAGGGGUGUGAAGGUUGCAACACGCGAUUUUACAGUUGCAAAUUGAAACAUGUUUUAUAUUUAGUGUUUUGGAUUAUUCAGUUGACAAGAGGUGAGAGUGAGGAUUUACAGGUGUAAUUACAAGAUUAUGUAGUCACCUUGUGCACACACUGCAGGUUUGGGAGGAAGACCUGCUGCAAAUCCACAGAAAAACCCAACUAAGGAAUUGCAUUUGCCACAAGCAAUUACACAAGGUAAAACUUCGUGAAACAUUUGCUAUGUGUGCACCAGGCUCUUUUUAAAUUUAGAUUUCUGGGAAGGAGAGAAUUGCUGGGGCAUUUCUGUGACCUGAUCCCUCGUCUUGGUUGAUCCGCGAUGGAAAGGUGACCCCGCGCACGGCUGAGCUGGGAAUGGAUCUGGUGAGAGCCAUCCCAAUCUGAGCCAAGCAGAGUGUUCCCAACUGCAUCCCUGAAUAGAUCCACUUGCUCUUUUGCUGGCUCUAUUUUAGCCACAAAUCUGUUAUUCUGCCCUGUGGGUGCCAAUGUUAAAAAAAAAUAACCAAACUCAGUAAUAAUGGAUUUCUGCUUUUUUUUCCCCAAAAGGUUGAAGUGAACAUUCUUCUCACAAUACAUAGGUCUGCACCUGUGACAUUCAGAAAGAUGCAUGACCCUCACUCCUUCAGUGGAGCAGAUAUCUCUCAGCAACUUAGCAAUGCUAGGAAACAAAAUGGGAAGAAAAUGUUGGUGAGAACACUAAAACAUAACACUUUGGCAGAGGUGGUUAUCACAUCCUCCAGGCAUUUUUACCUGUGGUGCUGCCCUGACAGUUGCAGUGUAUUGUGGAAAUGAAGUGUGCAGUCACUCAGGACUGAGUCCUGCUGCUUGUGGAUGAGGCAAUUACAUCAAUACCUUUUGACAGAGCUGCGCUGCUCAGACCAGGAGGCACCGAAUCCAUCACUUUGCCUCAAGCUCCUUCCAAGCCAGAAAUGUGGGCAGGGCUUUUGGAGAGAUUAUCUUCCUAACCUCAGCCUGAGUACAAACUAGCCCACAGCCCACCUCUGUCCCUAGAUGAGCAGUUGUGCUUGUUUAACCAUGGAAACUUCAGCAACAGAGUCACUGCCUUCAUCUUUCCCCAAAAAAGGCAACACACAGCAGUGACAGCUUAGUGGGAGGAUGUUCUUUUCCCCAACAGCACAGAGCUCCACUGCCUGGAGCCCACCACCUCUGCACUGCUCAGUGUCCUAGUAGAAGAUGCAGAUGUAGAAUUUUUGGGCUGAGGUCCUAUUUGAAUUAUGUCUUAGGCUGGAAAUGAACAUAUAGGAAUGAAGGAUGUUCCCAGUGCCUGUGGGGCUGACAGCAGGGAUGGUCUGGGCUGCUCCAUCCUCCCUCUGCAUCUCAAGGCAAAGAUGUGGCAAACACCCUGGACAGAAAGAAAUCCCUUUUAUAGGCCUCAGAUCUUACAGAAAAUAAAGAGAUACAGAGCUGAAGAAACCUCUUAGGCUGGAAGUGUAUUCAGUGUUUCUGCAGAAUAGGGAGAGCACAAAGCUUCACUUACCAAAGCAGCCAAAUCUACUGAACUGUGGGGUUGGAAGACUUUUAUGUGCAGCAAGUAAUAACUGUCUUUAAUUAGCUUUGUUUACACGAUAGAUGUCAAUGUCAAGCUCUCUUGGUGAAAAGGGCAGAAUGUCCUUAGUGGGAAAUGUGAUUUUUGAAGCCUGACAGCAUAAAACCAGCGGGAAGGUCUGUGCUCAGACUGCUGGGGAGAAAAAUCACCUUUGGCUCAACAAAACAGGAAGGAUUUCAAGCCCACAGAAGAAGUUUUUCAAGAAACUAAUGAAAAUGGAGGAUUAUAGUUUAAACUGUUUUGCAAUCGCUGGCCUCAAUCCUGCAGACACUUUUCAAACACACUCAAUUUUAUAUCUGCGGUUGGUUUCGCUGACCCUCAUGGGAUUAUUGACACCUGGAGAUAGAAAUGAAGGUCAGACUGUUUACAGACCAGAGUUUAAACUAUAGCAUUUUAAUUUGAAAAACGACGUUAUAUCAAGGUCUGCAUAAUCGGCUCACUGGUAUCCUUUAUGUUUGAAAAAAAAAACCCUGAGAAAUUCAGGAAUUAAGAUUCAUGAGGUGGUCUCAGAUCUGCUCCCUUGUGUGAAUAGGACCUUUUGUUAUGCUGGAUCACAGCACUGGGCCACAAAACUUAUUCAGCAAAUAUUAAAAAACCCGCCUUCAUAAAA